AGGAUAUGUGAACUUUUGCAAAGCGGAGCCAUAAUGAAUAAAUUUUACCAGCCUCAUGAAGCGCAUAUUCCCUACCUCCUACAGCUCUUCAUUGACUACAAUCUUUAUGGCAUGAAUUUAAUAAAUCUGGCUGCUGUCAAGUUCCGAAAAGCAAGAAGGAAAAGUAAUACAUUGCAUGCAACUGGAUCCUGCAAGAAUCAUUUAUCAGGAAAUUCUCUUGCUGAUACUUUAUUUCGGUGGGAACAAGAUGAAAUACCAAGGUUAGUUAAUGUUGUAAAGGAAAUGAAAAUUUUACAUAUAUCCUAGUUGUGAUCAGAAAUCAGUGGUUACCAUAAUUAAAUUUUAACCUUUUAUUGUAUUGGAUCUUUUUAAUCUAUACACUUAACAGAAACAAACCUUGACAUUAGUGUAUUACAAGGAAUAAACGAUUUUAAAAACAAA
rnacentral:lncRNA from 1 species